AAUAGUUUAAUUCGAUUUUAUGUGCGUGUGCUUUUUAUCGUGUAUGACCUGUUCUUCAAAAGGUCCUGGACUUCAAUGUUUUUUAGAUAUUAACAGGGAGGAAUAUCGAAUCAAACAAGAAACGAGAAUAAGAUAAAGAGAUGAUGAGCUUGGGAUUGAACAAUUUCAUCAAAAGGAUCUAACCGAAAAGAGGAUGAUAUAGAAGACUUGCAGGUUGAAGCAAAGAUUGGUGAAGUAAGAGAAAGGACUCUGCACGAAUUGGCUAAGCUCGACAUGACACAGCAGUGGAUGUGCAUAGUCUACCCUCCUACCAUUGUGCCUUUUAAGCUAAAAUCGAGCAUGAUGAAUAUGUUGUUUUAGUUCAAUGGACGUAUAGAGGAAGAUCCUCACAAACACUUGAAAGACUUUUAUGUUGUCUAUAACCAGACGGAGUUAUAGAGGAGCAGCUAAACCUUAGGGCAUUCCCAUUUUCUCUGAGGGAGGAUGCCAAGAAUUGGCUAUAUUACUAACCAUCUAGAUCAAUCACUACAUGGCACGAGCUUUAGAAGUUGUUCUUGGAGAAAUACUUUCCUUCUUCGAAGUCAAACGAAAUUAGAAAGGAAAUUUAAGGCAUAACUUAAGACAUUGGGGAGAUUAUAUGACUACUGGGAGAGAUUUAAGCAGCUAUGUGCAUGCUUCCCUUAUUAUCAGAUAUUAGAUCCGCUACUUAUUAAGUACUUCUUUUCUGGACUACCCUUCAAUGAUCGGAGCUCAAUAGAUGCAGCAACUGUCGGUACCCUUGUUGAUAAACCCCAUAUGGAUCCCAAAGAUGGCAGAGAACUCAUAACAGUUCAACAUACAAGAAAAUGAACUCACCCCAUUUGACUCACUUGAGGUAAAAAAAUUACAUUCUCAAUUAUCUGAUCUUACUAUUCUCAUGAAACAGAUGGCCUAAGCUGAAUUGAAGACCUAGAUCCCUGUGGAGAAAGUCCAUUAUGCUUGACAAAGGUAAAAGCGUGAUUUGAACAGUCGCACCUACAACCCUGGAUGGUGAUACCAUCUCAGCUUUCAUUUGGGGAGUCAUGGAAACCACCAGGCGAGAGCAUGUAGCAGCCCUAGCUCACCAUUGGAGGAUGUGGUGAAGUCUUUGGCAGACACUAUACUAACAUUCUAGAAGGAUGUGAUGACCUUACAACAAGAAAUGAAGAAACUUCUGAAGGAAAAUGAUUUUGUUCCAUAAGGAAAGAAGGACGGGUAUGUAACAGUUAGCCAACCAGAUCACUCAGUUGGCCACCACUGUGAACAAGCUUGAUAUUCAAAGUGGUAAACUCAUCGAUCCUAAAGGGAAUGAAGAAAAGGGUAAACCCAUUGAGACCCUUGGAACGGUGACUGUUAGCUCCUUUGAGUUGAGCUCGAAGUUGGGUCAAGAAGAAGGAAAAUCCCUAGUAAUCUCCCAGUCAACCACGACAAUCAUGUUUUGCCUACCUUGUAAAGUAGGAUAAUGGUGAGCAAGUCUUAUUGAAAUGGAUGGAAUGGAGGAGUUGAUCAACUCCAAUCCAGUAUGAUCAGGCAGAAUGCGAUCGAGUAACUAACCUUAAAAAAUUGCGCUUCCUGAAGGCAGACAGACAUCAAAAUUUCAUCGCUUUCCUUUAUUUUCAGUUUUUAGGUUAGCUUCUUAUUUUUUCUUUUUAGCUUAUCUAGAAAUUUUUGUUUGUAGAGCAUCAUUUGAGGUUGACUUCCAAAGCAAGCUCAACUCUUCUUUCAGCGUCCUCCAAAUUCAGAAGAGUUUCUUUAUUCCCCUUUAAUUUGUCCCCCACUUAUUGGUUUUGAUUUGAUACAUUAGAGACAAUGUACGCUCUGAAUGUUGGGGAUGGUUUGGGUAUCGCUUGCUUCAUGUUCAUGUAUAGCUUGGGGUCCUUGAGCUCUGUGCUCGAACAAUGUUUAUGUGCUUGA